rnacentral:rRNA from 1 species
GAUGAACGCUGGCGGCGUGCUUAACACAUGCAAGUCGAACGGAAAGGCCAGUGCUUGCACUGGUGCUCGAGUGGCGAACGGGUGAGUAACACGUGGGUGAUCUGCCCUGCACUUUGGGAUAAGCCUGGGAAACUGGGUCUAAUACCAGAUAGGACCAUGCUUUGGAUGGUGUGGUGGAAAGUUUUUUCGGUGUGGGAUGAGCUUGCGGCCUAUCAGCUUGUUGGUGGGGUAAUGGCCUACCAAGGCGUCGACGGGUAGCCGGCCUGAGAGGGUGUACGGCCACAUCGGGACUGAGAUACGGCCCAGACUCCUACGGGAGGCAGCAGUGGGGAAUAUUGCACAAUGGGCGCAAGCCUGAUGCAGCGACGCCGCGUGGGGGAUGACGGCCUUCGGGUUGUAAACUCCUUUCGCAACUGACGAAGCUUUUUGUGACGGUAGGUUGAGAAGAAGCACCGGCUAACUACGUG